UGGCGACCGGCGCACGGGUGCGUAACGCGUAUGCAACCUACCUGUAACAGGGGGAUAACACUGAGAAAUCGGUACUAAUACCGCAUAACACUAUGAGAGGCAUCUCUUGUGGUUGAAAGUUUCGGCGGUUACAGAUGGGCAUGCGUUGUAUUAGCUGGUUGGUAAGGUAACGGCUUACCAAGGCGACGAUACAUAGGGGGACUGAGAGGUUAACCCCCCCACAUUGGUACUGAGACACGGACCAAACUCCUACGGAAGGCAGCAG
rnacentral:rRNA from 1 species